UGGGGAAUCUUGCACAAUGGAGGAAACUCUGAUGCAGCGACGCCGCGUGAGCGAAGAAGCCUUUCGGGGUGUAAAGCUCUUACGCCAGGGACGAUAAUGACGGUACCUGGAGAAGCAGCUGCGGCUAACUACGUGCCAGCAGCCGCGGUAAUACGUAGGCAGCAAGCGUUGUUCGGAAUUACUGGGCGUAAAGGGUGCGUAGGCGGCGCUCUAAGUUUGGUGUGAAAUCUCCCGGCUUAACUGGGAGGGUGCACUGAAAACUGGGGCGCUCGAGUAUGGGAGAGGAAAGCGGAAUUCCUGGUGUAGCGGUGAAAUGCGUAGAGAUCAGGAGGAACACCUGCGGUGCAGACGGCUUUCUGGACCAUCACUGACGCUGAGGCACGAAAGCGUGGGUAGCAAACA
rnacentral:rRNA from 1 species